UCGCCUGUUUAUCAAAAACAUGGCCUUUUGAAUAAUAAAUAUAAGGUUUGGCCUGCCCAAUGAUUACAUUUAAUGGCCGCAGUAUCCUGACUGUGCGAAGGUAGCAUAAUCAUUUGUCCUUUAAUUGGGGACUUGUAUGAAUGGUUUGAUGAAGGAUUACCUUUCUUUAUUUUUAUAUAUAAUAAUUUAAUUUAUAAGUUAAAAAGCUUAUAUUAUUUUAAAUGACGAGAAGACCCUGUAGAACUUUACUAUAAUGAAUAUACUGUUUAAUAUAUAUUAUUAAAUAAAUAGUUAUUUAUAAAUAGUUUUGUUGGGGUGACAGUUAAAUUUAUUAAACUUUAAUUUGAAUUAAUUCAUUAAUUAGUGAUUUAUAUUGAUCCUAUAUUAUAGAUUAUAAGAAUAAGUUACCUCAGGGAUAACAGCGUAAUUCUAUUGGAGAGUUCAUAUUAAUAAUAGAGUUUGCGACCUCGAUGUUGGAUUAAAAUAAGUGUUAAAGCACAAGUUUGAUAACCACCCGCCCGCGUUCCCC
rnacentral:rRNA from 1 species